rnacentral:rRNA from 1 species
AUUGAACGCUGGCGGCAGGCCUAACACAUGCAAGUCGAACGAGUGGCGGACGGGUGAGUACUGUCUGGGAACCUACCCGAUGGAUGGGGAUAACUACUGGAAACGGUAGCUAAUACCGCAUACCCUCGGAUGAUCCGCGAUGGGAUUAGCUCGUAGGUGGGGUAACGGCUCACCUAGGCGCCGAUCCCGAGCUGGUCUGAGCGGAUGACCAGCCACACUGGAACUGAGACACGGUGCAGACUCCUACGGGAGGAAGCAGUGGGGAAUAUUGCACAAUGGGCGCAAGCCUGAUGCAGCCAUGCCGCGUGUAUGAAGAAGGCCUUCGGGUUGUAAAGUACUUUCAGCGAGGAGGCGUUACUCGCAGAAGAAGCACCGGCUAACUACGUGCCAGCAGCCGCGGGAAUAC